CGCCGGGGAGGGAAUGGCUAAUGGAGACUGCACGAGAACGUGGUGGAUGCCACCCACGUUGAGUUUUCACGCAGGAAUGCCUUGGAGUGAGACGCCCAUUCAUGAGGAGCAUGACCUUGAACGUUUUCCUGACCAGUGAAGGGGAUGAUCAUCCAUGUUAGAGACCUUCUGCCUGGCUAAGCUGCACCAACGUUACAAAGAUAAGGGCCACAACUGAAGCAGUGCGCUCCAACUCAUCCACCCAUCCCACCCGUUUCUGACUCACUGUUGCUACGACGGGUGAGGCUCCGAAGCGGAGCUAUGCUGUGCCGGGGGGGCAGUACUCGGGUUCUUCACCCCUGCUGUGCCUGAGACAAACUGUGCAAACGUUACUGUGCUCUUCAACCUGGGGGGGUGCUACCAUCGCUGCUACCGGUACGUUUAAGUGACUGUACCACUCCAGAACAAUGUGUGUGUGUGUGUGUGUGUUCAUGUCAUAAAUGUUUUCCAGGCAGUGAUGGACUCACGACGACCAAUCAAACUGUAAAUGACAGAUUGAGUUCAUAUAUAUAUAUAUAUAUAUAUAGUAUGUCGUCAGUAUGUCGUCGAGCAGGAAGUAUGUCCCCAAAAGAACAAAUCAUUGUUUUGUCUCUCGUACAAAAAAGAACUGUAGUAAAUAUGGCAGUUUGUGUAUCCAGAGGUCUCUCCAGAAGUCAGUUGUUACGAGGUAACCAGGGAGUAGAUCAUACUGAAACACAAGAAGAAAAAAAAAAAAAAACGAAGUGAGUGAGUCGAAAAAAUGUAAUGGUUGGGG